rnacentral:ncRNA from 1 species
ACCAAGCCAUAGAAAGAGAUUUAAGGGUUAUUUGGGUUCGUCCCUAUUAAUCUUUUUUUGAAUCUUUCUAUGAGUAGAAAAUCGUGGGGUUUGUGUAGAAGCAAGAUGCGUGAGCUCUUGUGGAACAUAUCCCUAGUGCAGAUCUUGGUGGAAGUAGCAAUUAUUCAAAUGAGAACUUUGAAGACUGAAGUGGAGAAGGGUUUCUUGUCAACUGUGAUUGUACAAGAGUUAGCCGCUCUUAAGGGAAAGCUGAAAUGCGUUUAAUUGGGGAUUCGAUGUCAUAGGCAACUAUGACCUCUCUCCCCGUCCCGAAAGGGAAACAGGUUGAUAUUCCUGUGCCGAUAGUAAUUUGGGUAUUUGAGAUGGUAACAUAUAUAUAAAUGAACUCCUUUACGUAGGUCUUACACUCGGGGUGCGUUUUCUUUGCACUUUAACUUUAUAGCCGACCUUGGAAUCAAUUUAGUUGGAGAAGAGGUUUGCUGAAUUCAAUUCGGGGUAAUCUGCUAUGAAUGAAGUAAUUUGUUCUUGUAUGAUUCCCUGUUUUGAGUAAUAGUAAUUCAUUUUUAUGGAUUAUCCGAAGCCGUAAGGACUACCCUUGAAAAAAGGAGGGAACAGCAAGAGGUGAGUUUUACUCAUUUCUUGUCGCCCUGAUUUACUUGUAUGAGCGUACCAACAACCGCAUCAGGUCUCCUAGGUUAACAGCCUCUGGUUAAAUAGAAAAAAGUAAGUAAGGGAAGUCGGCAAAAUAGAUCCGUAACUUCGGGAAAA